UUUUCUUCUUCUUCUUGGUGCCCCCCAGGGCCUGCUUGGUGAUCUGGAAGUUCUUCUUGCUGCACAGCACCACGGCCUGCAGCAUCUCGUGGGGGGACACGUGAGCCUUGAAGUUGCGGGGGUUCCACAGCUUACGCAUCAGCUCCCCGAAGCGCUGCACCAGCAGGAACAUGAUGUCCCCUGGGGGCCGUUUGAUGUUCUUAUAGUUAUCCUCCUCC
rnacentral:lncRNA from 1 species